GAUGAACGCUGGCGGCGUGCCUAAUACAUGCAAGUCGAGCGAACAGACGAGGAGCUUGCUCCUCUGACGUUAGCGGCGGCCGGGUGAGUAACACGUGGAUAACCUACCUAUAAGACUGGGAUAACUUCGGGAAACCGGAGCUAAUACCGGAUAAUAUAUUGAACCGCAUGGUUCAAUAGUGAAAGACGGUUUUGCUGUCACUUAUAGAUGGAUCCGCGCCGCAUUAGCUUGUUGGUAAGGUAACGGCUUACCAAGGCGACGAUGCGUAGCCGACCUGAGAGGGUGAUCGGCCACACUGGAACUGAGACACGGUCCAGACUCCUACGGGAGGCAGCAGUAGGGAAUCUUCCGCAAUGGGCGAAAGCCUGACGGAGCAACGCCGCGUGAGUGAUGAAGGUCUUCGGAUCGUAAAACUCUGUUAUUAGGGAAGAACAAAUGUGUAAGUAACUAUGCACGUCUUGACGGUACCUAAUCAGAAAGCCACGGCUAACUACGUG
rnacentral:rRNA from 1 species